UUCAGCAGGCAAAUCCGCUGAUGAACUGAAACAUGAUAGUACUCAGAUCCUUUCGGGGUGAAGAGAUAGUGGCUCCAAGCAUACUUCCAAGAAAAACCUCUAAGCUUCAGGUAAUAACAGCCCGUACCGUAAACCGACACAGGUAGUCGAGGAGAAUAUCCUAAGGCGCUCGAGUGAGUCAUGGCUAAGGAACUAGGCAAAUUAGUCUCGUAACUUCGGGAAAAGAGACCCCCACUUCGGUGGGGCGCAGAGAAAUGGCCCAGGCGACUGUUUAGCAAAAACACAGGACUCUGCAAAAUCGAAAGAUGACGUAUAGGGUCUGACACCUGCCCGGUGCCGGAAGGUUAAGGAAGGGGGUUAGCGCAAGCGAAGCUCUUGACUGAAGCCCCGGUAAACGGCGGCCGUAACAAUAACGGUCCUAAGGUAGCGAAAUUCCUUGUCGGGUAAGUUCCGACCUGCACGAAUGGUGUAACGAUCUGGGCACUGUCUCAGCCAUGAGCUCGGUGAAAUUGAAGUAUCGGUGAAGAUACCGGUUACCCGCCACGGGACGAAAAGACCCCGUGCACCUUUACUAUAGCUUCACAUUGUGCUUGAAUAUAAGAUGUGUAGGAUAGGUGGGAGACUUUGAAGCGGCCACGCUAGUGGUUGUGGAGUCAACGUUGAAAUACCACCCUUCUUCUAUUUAGGUUCUAACCCCGUACCCACGGGGGACAGUGUGUGGUGGGUAGUUUGACUGGGGUGGUCGCCUCCUAAAGAGUAACGGAGGCUUGCAAAGGUGCCCUCAGCAUGGACGGUAAUCAUGCGAAGAGCGUAUUAGUAUAAGGGCGCUUGACUGAGAGAGCGACGGCUCGACCAGGUACGAAAGUAGGCUAAAGUGAUCCGGUGGUUCCGCAUGGAAGGGCCAUCGCUCAAAGGAUAAAAGGUACGCCGGGGAUAACAGGCUGAUCUCCCCCAAGAGCUCAUAUCUACGGGGAGGUUUGGCACCUCGAUGUCGGUUCGUCACAUCCUGGGGCUGAAGAAGGUCCCAAGGGUUCGGCUGUUCGCCGAUUAAAGUGGCACGUGAACUGGGUUCAGAACGUCGCAAGACAGUUCGGUCUCUAUCUGUGGUGGGCGUUGUAAUAUUGAAGGGAACUGACUCUAGUACGAGAGGACCGAGUUGGACGUACCUCUAGUGUAUCUGUUGUGCCGCCAGGUGCAGCGCAGAGUAGCUAUGUACGGACUAGAUAAGCGCUGAAAGCAUCUAAGCGCGAAGCUAUCCUUAAGAUGAGUAUUACUGGGGUCGUAGAAGACGACUACGUUGAUAGGCUAUAGGUGUAAGCGUAGUAAUACGUUCAGCUGAGUAGUACUAAUUACCCCUUAGCUUCCUUC
rnacentral:rRNA from 1 species